rnacentral:rRNA from 1 species
UACGUAGGUGGCAAGCGUUAUCCGGAAUUAUUGGGCGUAAAGCGCUCGCAGGCGGUUUGUUAAGUCUGAUGUGAAAGCCCACGGCUCAACCGUGGAGGGUCAUUGGAAACUGGGAGACUUGAGUGCAGAAGAGGAGAGUGGAAUUCCACGUGUAGCGGUGAAAUGCGUAGAGAUGUGGAGGAACACCAGUGGCGAAGGCGACUCUCUGGUCUGUAACUGACGCUGAGGAGCGAAAGCGUGGGGAGCAAACAGG